rnacentral:lncRNA from 1 species
AUGGUGCACAUGAAUGUCCUGCCUGAUGCUCUCAAGAGCAUCAACAAUGCCGAAAGAAGAGGCAAACCCCAGGUUCUUAUUAGGCUGUGCUCCAAAAUCAUCAUCUGGUUUCUCACUGUAAUGGUGAAGUAUGGUUACAUUGGCAAAUUUGAAUCACUGAUGAUUACAGAGCUGGGAAAAAUUGUUGUGAACCUCACAGGUAGGCUAAACAAGCGUUGAGUAAUCAGCCCCAGAUUUGAUGUGCAACUCAAACAUCUGGAAAAAUGGCAGAAUAAUCUGCUUCUAUCCGGCCGGUUUGGUUUUAUUGUACUAACAACCUCAGCUGGUAUCAUGGACCAUGAAGAAGCAAGAAGAAAACACACAGGAGGUAAAAUCCUGGGAUUCUUUUUUUAG